rnacentral:rRNA from 1 species
CAGCCAUCAUUUAAAAAGUGCGUAAUAGCUUACCGGUCGAGCAGUCGUGCACCGACAAUGAACGGGAGUAAGCAGAAUACCGAAGCAGCGGGAUUGGUGUCUCUUCGGAGGCACUGAUCGGUAGGAGAGCGUUCCACGUCAGCAAGUCAAACCGUAAGGGAUGAUAUCGGGGCGUGGAAGUGAUUAUGCCGGAAUGAGUAACGAUUAUGCAGGUGAGAAACCUGCACGCCGCAUGCCUAAGGUUUCCUGGGGAAGGUCAAUCCGCCCAGGGUUAGCCGGUCCCUUAGUCGAGGCCGAAAGGCGUAGACGAUGGAAAGCAGGUUAAUAUUCCUGCGCUGCGUAGGGAGGACGUUGUGUGAAUGGGGAGCGGACUGCUAGACAUGUCCGUGCCGCAAGGCCGAGUCCCUGGUUGAUGAAGUUUCUUGAAGCACAACCAAGAAAAGCCCCUACAACAAUGCAACCGUACUAAAACCAACACAGGUAGGCGAGUCGAGUAGACUAAGGCGCUCGGGAGAACGGUGGUUAAGGAACUCUGCAAAAUGACCCCGUAACUUCGGGAUAAGGAGUGCCAUCUUCGGAUGGCGGCACGAAUCGGCUCUAGCGACUGUUUAUCAAAAACACAGGACUGUGCGAACACGUAAGUGGAUGUAUACAGUCUGACGCCUGCUCGGUGCCGGUAAGUUAAGGAAGAGGGUGAGCCGCAAGGCGUAGCCCGCAACCAAAGCUCCGGUAAACGGCGGCCCUAACUAUGAGGGUCCUAAGGUAGCGAAGUUCCUUGUCGGGUAAGUUCCGACCUGCAUGAAUGGCGUAACGACUGGAGCACUGUCUCUACCACCGACCCGGUGAAGUUGAAUCCGUGGUGAAGAUGCCACGUUCCCGCAGUGUGACGGAAAGACCCCAUGAACCUUUACUGUAUGCUGGUAUUGGUAUUAGGCAUGUCUUGUGUAGGAUAGGUGGGGGGCUGCGAAGUUGGGACGCAAGUCCUGAUGGAGCCAACGUUGAAAUACCACCCUGGACCUGUUUGAUAUCUAACCCCGACCCGUAAUCCGGGCGGUGGACAGUGCCAGUUGGGCAGUUUGACUGGGGCGGUCUCCUCCAAAAAGGUAACGGAGGAGCUCAAAGGUACCCUCAGCCUGGUUGGCAAUCAGGCGAAGAGCGUAAGGGUAGAAGGGUGCUUGACUGCAAGACCGACGAGUCGCGCAGAAACGAAAGUUGGACCUAGUGAUCCGGCGAUUCCGAAUGGAAGGGUCGUCGCUCAACGGAUAAAAGGUACUCUGGGGAUAACAGGCUGAUCCCACCCGAGCGUCCAUAGCGGCGGUGGGGUUUGGCACCUCGAUGUCGGCUCAUCACAUCCUGGGGGUGGAGAAGCUCCCAAGGGUUCGGCUGUUCGCCGAUUAAAGUGGUACGUGAGCUGGGUUCAGACCGCCAAAA